GAUGAAGAACGUAGCGAAAUGCGAUAAGUAAUGGGAAUUGCAGAAUUCAGUGAAUCAUCGAAUCUUUGAACGCACAUUGCGCCCCCUGGUAUUCCGGGGGGCAUGCCUGUCCGAGCGUCAUUACAACCCUCAAGCUCAGCUUGGUGUUGGGCCCCGCCGCCCCGGCGGGCCCUAAAGUCAGUGGCGGUGCCGUCCGGCUCCGAGCGUAGUAAUUCUUCUCGCUCUGGAGGUCCGGUCGUGUGCUCGCCAGCAACCCCCAAUUUUUUUCAGGUUGACCUCGGAUCAGGUAGGGAUACCCGCUGAACUUAAGCAUAUCAAUAAGCGGAGGA
rnacentral:misc_RNA from 1 species